rnacentral:rRNA from 1 species
CCUACGGGAGGCUGCAGUGGGGAAUAUUGCGCAAUGGGCGAAAGCCUGACGCAGCGACGCCGCGUGAGGGAUGAAGGUCUUCGGAUCGUAAACCUCUGUCAGCAGGGAAGAACGGUCACUGUGCUAAUCAGCAGUGAAUUGACGGUACCUGCAAAGGAAGCACCGGCUAACUCCGUGCCAGCAGCCGCGGUAAUACGGAGGGUGCGAGCGUUAAUCGGAAUUGAUGGGAGUAAGGCGCGCGUAGGCGGUAUGUCAAGUCAAGGGUGAAAUCCCCGCGCUCAACGGGGGAACUGCCUUUGAAACUGGCAAACUUGAGUGUGUGAGAGGAUAGUGGAAUUCCAGGUGUAGGAGUGAAAUCCGUAGAUAUCUGGAGGAACAUCAGUGGCGAAGGCGACUAUCUGGCACAUAACUGACGCUGAGGAGCGAAAGCGUGGGUAGCAAACAGGAUUAGAUACCCGUGUAGUC